ACAUUCCCGGGCCAGCUUCUGUACUGCCAGGUCCGGGUCGGCGGCUGCACUGCGGAUGAGACCGGUGCGACUCAUGAAGGUGUUCGUCACCCGCAGGAUACCCGCCGAGGCUGUGAGGUGGAGCAGUGGGACACGGAUGAGCCCAUCCCCGCCCAGGAGCUAGAGCGAGGUGUGGCGGGGGCCCAUGGCCUGCUCUGCCUCCUCUCCGACCACGUGGACAAGAGGAUCCUGGAUGCUGCAGGGGCCAAUCUCAAAGUCAUCAGCACCAUGUCUGUGGGCGUCGACCACUUGGCUUUGGAUGAAAUCAAGAAGCGUGGGAUCCGAGUUGGCUACACCCCAGAUGUCCUGACAGAUACCACCGCCGAACUCGCAGUCUCCCUGCUACUUACCACCUGCCGCCGGUUGCCGGAGGCCAUCGAGGAAGUGAAGAAUGGUGGCUGGACCUCGUGGAAGCCCCUCUGGCUGUGUGGCUAUGGACUCACGCAGAGCACUGUCGGCAUCAUCGGGCUGGGGCGCAUAGGCCAGGCCAUUGCUCGGCGUCUGAAACCAUUCGGUGUCCAGAGAUUUCUGUACACAGGGCGCCAGCCCAGGCCUGAGGAAGCAGCGGAAUUCCAGGCAGAGUUUGUGUCUACCCCUGAGCUGGCUGCCCAAUCUGAUUUCAUCGUCGUGGCCUGCUCCUUAACACCUGCAACCGAGGGACUCUGCAACAAGGACUUCUUCCAGAAGAUGAAGGAAACAGCUGUGUUCAUCAACAUCAGCAGGGGCGACGUCGUAAACCAGGACGACCUGUACCAGGCCUUGGCCAGUGGUAAGAUUGCAGCUGCUGGACUGGAUGUGACAAGCCCAGAACCACUGCCUACAAACCACCCUCUCCUGACCCUGAAGAACUGUGUGAUCCUGCCCCACAUUGGCAGUGCCACCCACAGAACCCGCAACACCAUGUCCUUGUUGGCAGCUAACAACUUGCUGGCUGGCCUGAGAGGGGAGCCGAUGCCUAGUGAACUCAAGCUGUAGCCAAACAGUAGAGAUGGAGGGCCGGGAGGCAAACCGUGCCCUGGUAUUGUCAGACACACCCAGGCU
rnacentral:sRNA from 1 species